rnacentral:rRNA from 1 species
AACGAACGCUGGCGGCAGGCCUAACACAUGCAAGUCGAGCGCCCCGCAAGGGGAGCGGCGGACGGGUGAGUAACGCGUGGGAACGUGCCCUUUGCUACGGAAUAGCCCCGGGAAACUGGGAGUAAUACCGUAUAAGCCCUACGGGGGAAAGAUUUAUCGGCAAAGGAUCGGCCCGCGUUGGAUUAGGUAGUUGGUGGGGUAAUGGUCUACCAAGCCGACGAUCCAUAGCUGGUUUGAGAGGAUGAUCAGCCACACUGGGACUGAGACACGGCCCAGACUCCUACGGGAGGCAGCAGUGGGGAAUCUUAGACAAUGGGCGCAAGCCUGAUCUAGCCAUGCCGCGUGAGCGAUGAAGGCCUUAGGGUUGUAAAGCUCUUUCGUGGGGGAAGAUAAUGACUGUACCCCAAGAAGAAGCCCCGGCUAACUCCGUGCCAGCAGCCGCCGUAAAAC